rnacentral:rRNA from 1 species
GACGAACGCUGGCGGCGUGCCUAAUACAUGCAAGUUGAGCGCUGAAGGUUGGUACUUGUACCAACUGGAUGAGCAGCGAACGGGUGAGUAACGCGUGGGGAAUCUGCCUUUGAGCGGGGGACAACAUUUGGAAACGAAUGCUAAUACCGCAUAAAAACUUUAAACACAAGUUUUAAGUUUGAAAGAUGCAAUUGCAUCACUCAAAGAUGAUCCCGCGUUGUAUUAGCUAGUUGGGGAGGUAAAGGCUCACCAAGGCGAUGAUACAUAGCCGACCUGAGAGGGUGAUCGGCCAAAUUGGGACUGGGACACAGCCCAAACGCCUACGGGAGGCAGCAGUAGGGAAUCUUCGGCAAUAGACGAAAGUCUGACCGAGCAACGCCGCGGGAGUGAAGAAGGUUUUCGGGUCGUAAAACUCUGUUGGUAGAGAAGAACGUUGGUGAGAGUGGAAAGCUCAUCAAGUGACGGUAACUACCCAGAAAGGGACGGCUAACUACGUG